UGGGGAAUAUUGCACAAUGGGCGCAAGCCUGAUGCAGCCAUGCCGCGUGUGUGAAGAAGGCAUUCGGGUUGUAAAGCACUUUCAGCGGGGAGGAAGGCGGUGAGGUUAAUAACCUCAUCGAUUGACGUUACCCGCAGAAGAAGCACCGGCUAACUCCGUGCCAGCAGCCGCGGUAAUACGGAGGGUGCAAGCGUUAAUCGGAAUUACUGGGCGUAAAGCGCACGCAGGCGGUCUGUCAAGUCGGAUGUGAAAUCCCCGGGCUCAACCUGGGGACUGCAUUCGGAACUGGCAGGCUAGAGUCUUGUAGAGGGGGGUAGAAUUCCAGGUGUAGCGGUGAAAUGCGUAGAGAUCUGGAGGAAGACCGGUGGCGAAGGCGGCCCCCUGGACAAAGACUGACGCUCAGGUGCGAAAGCGUGGGGAGCAAACAGG
rnacentral:rRNA from 1 species